rnacentral:rRNA from 1 species
AACGAACGCUGGCGGUAUGCUUAACACAUGCAAGUCGUACGUGAAGGGGCUUCGGCCCCUGGAAAGUGGCGCACGGGUGAGUAACACGUGGAUAAUCUACCCGGUGGUUUGGGAUAACAUCUCGAAAGGGGUGCUAAUACCAAAUAAGCCCACGACAUCUUUGGAUGACGAGGGAAAAGGGGGCUUCGGCUCCUGUCACCGGAUGAGUCCGCGGCCCAUUAGCUAGUUGGUGGGGUAAUGGCCCACCAAGGCGACGAUGGGUAGCCGACCUGAGAGGGUGAUCGGCCACAUUGGAACUGAGACACGGUCCAGACUCCUACGGGAGGCUG